UACGAAGGGGGGCUAGCGUUGCUCGGAAUCACUGGGCGUAAAGGGUGCGUAGGCGGGUCUUUAAGCCAGGGGUGAAAUCCUGGAGCUCAACUCCAGAACUGCCUUUGAUACUGAAGAUCUUGAGUUCGGGAGAGGUGAGUGGAACUGCGAGUGUAGAGGUGAAAUUCGUAGAUAUUCGCAAGAACACCAGUGGCGAAGGCGGCUCACUGGCCCGAUACUGACGCUGAGGCACGAAAGCGUGGGGAGCAAACAGG
rnacentral:rRNA from 1 species